GCGCCCAUAGCUCAGCUGGAUAGAGCACCAGGCUUCGAACCUGGGUGUCGGGAGUUCGAAUCUCUCUGGGCGCGCCA
rnacentral:tRNA from 1 species